AACGAACGCUGGCGGCAGGCUUAACACAUGCAAGUCGAACGGUUCCUUCGGGGACAGUGGCAGACGGGUGAGUAACACGUGGGAAUCUACCCAUCCCUGCGGAACAACUCCGGGAAACUG
rnacentral:rRNA from 1 species